UAACGAGCGCAACCCCUACCUUUAGUUGCCAUCAGGUUAAGCUGGGGACGUCUAAAGGAACUGCCUACGCAAGUAGUGAGGAAGCGGGGAUGACGUCAAAUCAGCACGGCCCUUACGUCCAGGGCUACACACGUGCUACAAUGGCCGAUACAGAGGGCAGCUACCUGGUGACAGGAUGCAAAUCUCCAAAGUCGGUCUCAGUUCGGAUCGGAGUCUGCAACCCGACUCCGUGAAGUUGGAUUCGCUAGUAAUCGCGCAUCAGCCAUGGCGCGGUGAAUACGUUCCCGGGCCUU
rnacentral:rRNA from 1 species